AACAAAUUGCACAGUCACCCUGUGUACAGAGGCCAUCACAUGCUCUCUGAUCAUGUUCUUACCGGGUGUAUUGAGCACGUGGUGCGGCUGGAGGAGGUGGAGUGGGAAGGGAAGGUGACUUGUCCACACUGACACAGUGAGUAAGUGGCACAGCCACUGAAGGGAACCCAGAACUCUGACUCACAAGCUACUCUUUCCUGACACCACCCUGCUGAAAGGUGUAGGAGGAACAGGAUGGGUCAUGGACAGCACAUGAGGGCCAAAUGGGGGCUGUUGGUGCCUGCACGGAUUAUGUCCUCUGAGCUGAGAGAGGGGCUGGAGUGUUCAGUUUAGGUUUGUGAGAGAAGAAAUGACUGAAAUGCACCUUGACAGUGAAGAUGGUCACCAUGCUUGCAUCCUGACAGUAGUGAUUGGGAACCAUCUCUGGUGAGCAUUUUAACAUUCUUCUUUCUCUCUUUUCCUUCCUGACCAUGAGGUGAGUGAUUCUGCUCUGUCUUAUGUCCCCACCAUAAUACGCCAUCUCAGGCCCAAAGCCAUGGGGCCAACUGAUCAUGGACCGAAGCCUACAAACCUGUGAGCCAAGAUAACCCUUUUUCUCUUUAUAAGCUGAUUAUCUCAGGUGUUUGUUACAGAAAAGGAAAGCUGACUAACACACUGUCUUCCAACCCCCACCAACAUCAGUUGCCCCAAGAGUGUCUAGAACGGGUGCUGAAAAUGUUCACAGGUGCUGUUUGCAUGACUUGCCACAGAGCUGGGGUAAACACUGCUUGAUUUUUACAGGUAAAACUUUAACACAGAUAAACUCACUCAUUGCAGUGGACCACAUGAUUGUUCUGUGUGUGAUGACUAAUAUAAACAAAGUCGGGCUAAUAUAAACAAAGUGUGGGCAUCCCAGGGUCCAGAAACCAGCGUGUAGAUCUUUCUGGAAGGCCAGCCCAGCUGUGAUCUGCUCAGGGACCAUGAACACCGGAGUAAACUAGAUGAGUAGUGACCAGAAGAACCACAUGGCUGAAUGGGAAGGUGUUUGGUGACUGAGGAAUGACAACUCAUUGACUUUUAAUACUCUACUCAGUUUCUGUCAGGAAAUCCUAAAGGUCUAUCAACUCUCAAGAUAAUCAUUUGGCCAACAGAUUCUUAUACAGAAAUGUUCAGUCUUGAAAAAUGAGUCUUAUAAGCCAGUUGGGAAAAGAGGAAAGUAUUAGCAGUAGGGAGAGAGCACCUGAGGUAGACUUCAGAGGCUGUUAUUCCUCUGGGAUCAGACAUUGCCUUUCAGACACUGGGAACAUUUUUAUGAGUGUAAAAAUUACUGAAGGAGACUUGAAAUAUUUUCAUUCAUGUCAGUUCAAUCCACAGAGCUAUUAAAAUUUUCAAAGCUUUAAGGUACUAAAAUGUAUAUAUCAUCUGAAUGUAAGUAUUGGAGUAACUGAUAACCUGCCUCUGCCAACAAUGGGUGGGGAGGUCGACAGUACUUUAUAUAGCUUUUAUUUAUCUAGAACUAAACCACUGCAUAACCUCAAAUGUCCCCAAAAUAGCUUGGAGACAUGAAAUUUUUUUUUUUAAAAGAGUGAACCUUGGGAAAUACUUUCCUGAAACACUUUUCUCGUAGAACUAGCCCUCAUACCCUGACUCAGAAUACAUUGUACACAUAUCCUUAACCAGUGAGCAUCCCACUUUCAUGCCAUGGCAGUUCAGAAAUAGAAAAUCAGCAGUCGGGAGAGGAUUUCUUACAGCCAUACUCACUAACGAGGAACAGCUGCCGUCAGCCCAGGGCCAGGGCAGAGAAGCAGGAGGGAAGCAGACAAACACAAGAAUCCCAGAGGCACAGUAACUUGGGGCCCCUUAGCAUACAGGCAGAUGUCCUGUCCCUGUCCAUCUGAAUUGCCUACGCCUAUGAUUUUUAUCACAUAUAGCCCUAGAUACGAUGAUUUCUCACUGUGAUGACUUCAAGACCAAAGACAAUAAAUUAAAUUAAGUUCCCCUUACUCUCAGAAAGCAGAAGGGGUAAACUGCAUUUUAGAACAUUUUCUGCCCCAAAUGAUUUUUUCCUUUUUUCUUUCCCUCUUUUCUUUCCCCUCUCCAUACUUACCCUCCUCUUUUCUCUCUUCUGUCUUUGCUUCCUUUUUCCUUCUUUUGGUGCUUUGAAGCACCUGCUUCAAUGUGUCUAGAACUCAGCCCUCCAGAAUGGCCAUCAAGAGAGCUGCAAUUUGCUGUUUUCAGCUCACUGUGUGACUGUAAGGCUUAUUGCACAACUGUGUGAUCAAUAUUUAUUCAUACUCUUUAAGAAUCAUCUCACGGUUUUUAAAUUUCUGAACAGGUGAACUUCUGUUAAAGAUACAGCCUACUGGAAAGGAGGAAAAACAGGGGGAAAACACAACUAACAGAAAUUUUUAGAAGAGGUUGUCAGAAUAAACAUUACAUCAUCAGUGUGGUGGGAGGGAAAAGAGGGUUCCCUUGAGGCAUAAACAAAAUUUCACAGUAUCAUUUAUUUUUACUUUUAGCCUAGCUCACAGACAGAUCUCUAAAACUGCUCAUUAUCACCAAAUGCCCUUUCAAAUGCUGAAGAACUGAAAGAAAGAGCUAAGUUACCUCUCUAUAUGACAUAUAAGAAAUGUCAGCACAUGCAGAUCUUCCCAAGGAAAGAAAAUUUAACUGUAGCAGCUCUGCAGUAAGUUUUAUCAGUUGCUUCCUUCCCUUUUCCCACUCACAGUGCACGUGCACACGUGCAUGCGCGCGCGCACACACACACACACACACACACACACACACAUGCAAACAUACCCCUUUUAGAUUGGGACCUUUGUCCUGCAGGGAAUGUAUAACUUCAAUAGCUGCUCUUCUCUGAAGGCUUCCUGUCAUCCGAACCCUGGAAAACCCUAUGCUUAAUUGUUUCUUGGAUCAUUGCAGAAAUUGAGGAUGGAGACAGAGCCGCCUUUUGUUACCUGUUGUGACUAGCAGUGGUCCAGUGGUCAUAGGCACACUGCCUAUGAGGAAACUGAGGCUCAAGAAAUUUGAGUCAAGUUCCCAAGAGAAACAUCUUACAAGCAGAGAUGGGAUUUAAAGAGAGGUUGCUUCUAACUACUGGGCUCUACUACCAGCCAAUGAGACUUGAACAGUUAUCACUGAAACUGACCCUCAUUUUCUAAGGGUCAGGGAUGGACUGAGAAAAAUGGUACUUGGAAUGUAGACACCAGGAUGCACUGAGGCCCCUACCUUGCACAAGAGAAUUGUGGGCACUCUCGUGUCCCUCAGUAAUGGGCACUUGACUUGUCUGAAUGGCUUACAUGCAGCCCAAAUGGCAGGCGCUGGGACUGCCGGCACAACUGCUGUCGGGAGAAGGUCUGUCCCUGUGCCACCCUGGCAACAAUGGACCAGCCUAUCUAGAAUCUUCUCUGCUGGCCAAGGCACUCUGCAACAGACAUCACAGUCAGCUGCCAUCUCCUGAGUUCCAAGAAUAAUCCACUCUCCCUCCCUACCAAGGAGUGGAGGGAGUGAGACCGCCAUGGGAUCCUGGCCCUGGAGAUGGGAUGUGGUGUGGUGCUGUUCUGCAUGCACCACCCCCUGGGGCGCCUGAGGAUGCAGCACUGGCUGUGGUUCAGGGAAACUGGAGGCAGUCGUAAAAGUAAGGUCAUCCAUCAUGCUCAGUGCAAGCCUUGAGUGUGUGGUUGCCUUGAUCCUUCAGAUUUUUUUUUUUUUUUGUAAAGCUCCCGGUCAUAAAGUGUUCUUUCCACCUCUGCCACCGUAUGUUUUGCCAGCUGCAUUUUCACCAGUCUUCUGCUCUCCAGAAAGUUCUCCCUUGUUCAGCCAAAGGAUAUCCCAGCAGCUCCUACAAGGACAGCUGGGAGUUCCAGUGGGGUUCCUGGCCACAUGGGAACUCAAGCUACCUACAUUUGUAGAUACUAGUCUCAGACUAUGGCCCUGAGAGACUGCACUGUCCUUAUUCCAAUGAAAUUUAGAGAAAUUUAAAUGAUUACAUACAGAAAAUAAUAAAAUGAAGAUAUAAUCCUAAAAAUAAUAAAAUAAAUAUAUGAGGAAAAAGUUCUUACUAGCACACAUUUUUGUCAUUCAGACUUCCUUGGC
rnacentral:lncRNA from 1 species